GCCAGUGUAGUAUAAUGGAUAUGGAGUUGGUCUCUUAACCUGAAGGUCACAGGUUCGAUUCCCACUGCUGUUG
rnacentral:tRNA from 1 species